rnacentral:rRNA from 1 species
UACGUAGGGCGCAAGCGUUGUCCGGAAUUAUUGGGCGUAAAGAGCUCGUAGGCGGCUUGUCACGUCUGGUGUGAAAGACCGGGGCUUAACCCCGGUUCUGCAUUCGAUACGGGCUGGCUAGAGUGUGGUAGGGGAGAUCGGAAUUCCUGGUGUAGCGGUGAAAUGCGCAGAUAUCAGGAGGAACACCGGUGGCGAAGGCGGAUCUCUGGGCCAUUACUGACGCUGAGGAGCGAAAGCGUGGGGAGCGAACAGG